UGUUCUUAUAGAAUAUCCAAUGGAUGACGAUAUGAUAUUUAGAACAUGUUUCGAACACCUCUUUAUAGUAUAGAUGAUGGAUGACUUUAUACUAUGAAGUUGUUUUUCAAUAUAUAUAUGUUCAGUGGUUUUGUACUUACCUAGUGGUCAUUUCCUCUACGGGACGUAGGGAUAGAUUCCGGUCCGUCCCGGGUGAUGGUUUGGUGUUGGCAUAGGGCCUGGAGUGUGUUUCCUCUGGCUAUUUAGCACAGGGACGGGGAGUCGGCAUGGGGCCUGAAGUGUAUUUUCCUCUGACUGUCUGCUCAGAGACGAGGAGCCAGCAUGAGGCCUGGGGGUUAUCGGACAAUUCACUAGUGAUUAUUAUAUAUACAAGUUAUGAUUUGAGACAUUGCAUGGCAUGCUAGGUUUUGGAAAACCUAUGUUUAUCAUUAUAUAUGUGUUUUCAUAAAACCUGGGGGUUAGUACGUGGAUAACUGUUUUAUUAUAUCUAUAUCAAAUUGGUCCACUUAUGUUUGUUUUGCAUCCCCUUCAGGAUUUAGAAUCGAGGCAUACAAUCCCGGCAUCCAGACACUUCCGCAUUGGUAUCUUCGAGUCCUCUCGGUGUAGGACCCACUUCUGUGUUCAUUCAAUUUUUAUAUUAAUUCUUUUAGACUUCUAGAUUAGAUGUGUGCUCUGAACACGUUCCUUAAAUGUAUAUUCCUUAUUAUUUUACAUUUAUAAGUUUUAUCUAUCCCUUGUUUUUAGCAUUUGCACUCAAUAAAUGGCUUUCGUCACCCUCGGGUGUCGACCAGCACGAGCCUAUCCUGGUAUUCGGGGAAUAUCGGGGUCGAGGCAUGUCAGAUUGGUAUCAGAGCAUGGUUUGUUCAGAGCAUACUUAGGAUCUUCUCUUACUAAAUUAGUGUGUCAGUUUUGACUUCAUUUGGAUGUCAGGACUUCUGGAUUUUAUGCCAUUUGGCGUAGUUAUGCAAAUCUUCUUUGUUUGAAUUGUCACAUUCUGGUUAAAAUACAAGAAUUCGUGUCGGGAUUGUGCCUCAUUAGUGAUGUGCUUGAAUUAUUGGAUGACUUUCAGCUUCGGAUCGAUACUCUACGAUGUGCAUUCCCUGGGAAUGACGGGCAUGGUCGGUGUUACUUGAAGCGACUUGUUUUAGAAAUCUCAAUUUGAGGAAGUCUGGUCAAGACCAGCUGUAAAUCUGAAAUGGUGAUGCCACUUUGCAACAUGCGUUCCCUAGGAAUGGCGGGCAUAUUCAUAUCUCUUGGAAAUUACUCGAAACAUUCAAAGUGCGUGCUAAAUAACGAGUAAGUGCUAUUGGUGACGACGGUUAGUAAGUGGUAGUUGGUGGGAGCAAAUCAAUGUUCUUGGACUCGUUUCCAUUAAGGAUAUUCGUGUGAAUCUUUAGAAUGAAUCUUCAGUGAUUGUUCUAUCGAUAACCUUCUUGCUUAUUCCAAUGACGAAGUCAAGUUCACAAACCUUUGACCGUCAGCUUCACAUCAAAUUCUUCAAGUGUUGACUUCGUUUACAUUAAUUGUUUUCUUAGGAAGCUCCUCGGAAGCAGACGCUAUUCUUACCAAUUUCCAAAUGGAGUUGCGAUUCUUCUUGUUGUUGUAGUUGAACUUGGAUGAUGAAGACCCAAACUUGUUUGGAUAAACAGACUCCUUGAAUUUCCCCUGGGUCUGGUACUCGGUGGUAAACCUUAGCUCCUUGUUCACGUACCUUUCGGUAGAGGUGAACUUAGCCUCUUGCUUGUAGCUUAACUGACCAAUGCUCUUGUCCAUUAACUGUUCAUCCUUGUAAUUUUCAGUGAAAUGGCUUAAGACUCUACCAUAUUCAUCAUUGUAUGAAGAUCGAGCUUUGCUCUAAACUUCUCUGGACUCAUUGAGCUUUGGUUUACUAAAAGGUAUCACUUUAAGGUAGCCAAUUGUGUCACUGCAUGCAUACGCAGGCUGCUUCGUAUCCUUCUUCUUCGUCAUUCUGUUAAUUCAGAGGUUUUAUGUUUCAUUUUUGAACUUUGAAACAUCUCUCACAAAGCAUUAUGAAUUUUGAAAUGUCUUUGGCCUCGUCAAACCUUAUUAAAAGUUCUUAACUAUUCUUGAGAUUAGACCUGUUCCUUUUGGCUAAGAAACUAGUCGACCCUAUUGUGAUGAUUAGCCAAAUAAUCAUAAACAGUGACUUCUAUUUCUGCAUCUUCAUUUUCCUUCGCUUGUUUGUUUCUCAAUGUGAACUGGAUCAUGUCGGAACAAUACAUCGAGGGUGAAAAAAAAAAAAAGUUUGUUCUCGGCAUGAUUUCUUACUCAACUAGAUAUCUUGUGCUAUAAAUUUAAUGGACUUGUUUUGACCCUCAAAUUCUUGAGUGUUCUUUUAGCCUUCUCGACAUGGUUUCUCGCUCAAUCAGUGAGGAAUUCACGAAUGAUCGAUUCGGCGGAAGUGUGCACCCAAUUCUUAUCGAUUUGGACAGGAAUGUUGGGAGCAUAAUAUCUUGACAAGCUUACCAGACUUACCAUAAAAAGUUCCACGUGGGUGUGAAGUUUGAGCGGUCUUUUAGUAAGAGUUGGUUAAAGGUUUUAGUACGGAAGGUCAGCAUAUUGUAUCACCAUCUUACUAGAAUUCAUAGGCAUCACAUCGGUUAUUUUCCAACGAUAUGUGUCGUCUCAACGCAUAUUUUCACUGCUUCACUCCAAAACUCUUUUGUUGUGAGUACGUGGUUGUCGAAACACUUCUAGCAGAUCUGUUUGGUGCACUCUGGGAUGGCACCACAGCGUGGUCGAGGUGAGAAUCAGAAGAUCUUCACACUUCUCUCGAAAGGUGUGUACUCUCUUUUCUUUUUAGGUUGACCAUUUGCGAGUCAUUCUUUCCACCAACUUUGACCUUGGUUGACUAGAAAUAUGCAACUAAGCAACAAUGGAGAGGUGGUUUGAGCACUACAACAGUUCCCAAGAGAUACUGCGUGUUGAGGAAGAUGACUUCUCAUUUUCUGCUUGCUUGGUUCGAGCUUUUGGGUCUACUACUAACAUGGUAGCCACUUCUCUUGAAUCUCAAGGUACAAUUUUCAAAUGGGUUCUUUACUGGUGAAACACUAGAGUAGUUGGUCACAUUUGGAAGAACUGAGGAGGAUAUGAUGCUUGGUACUGGAUGGAGUUGUUACGACGAUAGUUUUUAUUUUGUUGGUUGGGUACGACAUUUUUGCGACAUAGUACGAAAGUUUUCUACGGGCAACACUAGUUGACAGAUGAGUAUUGUGAUCUGGUAUUUGGAUGAUCGAAUUUUCGACGUGUGAAAUUGUGCACCCUCAGGAAAUUACUGCUUGCUUAGCGAGACAACAAUGUGUUGUCGAUAUUGCGGGCUGCAGACCGUUGUAUCGAUAACUUAUUCGUUGGGUUUGUUAAGCAAGUGAGCAAGAAGAUCCGUCUUCAGCAGUUGUGCGGAAUGGUUAUUCUUGGGACUCUAACCAAAGAUUCAUGUUCUCAAAGUGCGUGACGUUUCAUAUGCGUAGGCGAGACCCACUCUCAUUUUUCAAUUUUGGUUUUCAAUAUAAGUAUUUUAACUUCCUUUACUUUAGUUAUUUGUUUUUGGCGUUACAAAUGUUUUGGGGGAAGUAUUUCCGUUUUCAGUUUUAAGUUCAGCACGAGUUUUCGAUCUAUAUGUUAUUACUUAUCUAUUUUAGACGUUAUCGUAUUUUAUGUACUUACUUUUGACCUUAAGUUAUUUUGUGUUUUCGACCUUAUAUCUUUAUAAAGUAUGUUUUCUACUAUUACUCUGAUGGGGAAGAAAGUAGAAGCUUGGAGGCAUGAUAGAGGAUUUUGCAACCCGCUCGCGACGGUGUGUCAUAUUCUCUUUGAUGCACCCACUCUGACUUGAUUACCCUUUAUACAUAUAUUUUCUUUCUAUUUUCGAGUAUUUUUCAGUGUAGUAUGUUAUUUUAAAUUUCGAGGAUGAAAUUAUUUUAAGGGGGGUAGAUUGUUACAACCACCCCCAAAUAAUUGUAAUAUUUGUUAUUUUCACCCCUAAGCUGCCACGUGUCAGCCAUCUAACCCUCUCUUUUCUCUCUUUCUGCCCCCCCCCCCCCGUGAUCUCUCUUUUCUUCUUCUUCGUCUCUCUCUCACGUAGCUCUCUCAACUCUCCCGUGUAUCUCUCUCUCCCUUAACCUCUCGCAUCUCUCUCUCUUUGGACUCACGAAGAUCAUAUCACCAACAUGUGAGACUCGCAACGAACCCAGGUUCCCUGCCCUGUGAACUCGACGGCACGGAGCAAAGCUCCGGUGAGCUUUCUUUCCUUUUUCCCGUCGGGUAAGUCUCGAAUCCCUCGUUCUCGUACCUAGCAUGAUGCUUGGUUGUGUUUUAGGAGGUUGAUCCUUCCAUUUUUACGUAGGUUUUGCCUCGGGAUUGUGUUGGGUGAAGCACACCCGUUUUCCCAAAUUCAAUUACUAUUAUAUAGUUUUAUUAAUUGAGCCCUUUAUGUGCUUUGGGGCAAUUAUAGUGGCAUUUCUGUCUUCGCUAGCUGCGUGACUUUUCGACGGCAAAGUACUGUGAGUGGACCCCUUCUAAAAAUGCAUGUUUUAAUAGUAGAAAUGCAUACAUGAAAGACAUGAUUUACUGAUUACGUUUUAUGAAACGUUUUGAGAUAACAUGCUUACUAAGGCUAGUUUGAAUUAUUAUUAUUUUUCCUAUACCCCAUGUUCUUAUAGAAUAUCCGAUGGAUGACGAUAUGAUAUUUAGAACAUGUUUCGAACACCUCUUUAUAGUAUAGAUGAUGGAUGACUUUAUACUAUGAAGUUGUUUUCAAUAUAUAUAUGUUCAGUGGUUUUGUACUUACCUAGUGGUCAUUUCCGCUACGGGACGUAGGGAUAGAUUCUGGUCCGUCCCGGGCAACGGUUUGGUGUUGGCAUAAGGCCUGGAGUGUGUUUCCUCUGGCUAUUUAGCACAGGGACGGGGAGCC
rnacentral:lncRNA from 1 species